rnacentral:rRNA from 1 species
AUUGAACGCUGGCGGCAGGCUUAACACAUGCAAGUCGAGCGGAGAUGAGGUGCUUGCACCUUAUCUUAGCGGCGGACGGGUGAGUAAUGCUUAGGAAUCUGCCUAUUAGUGGGGGACAACAUUCCGAAGGAAUGCUAAUACCGCAUACGCCCUACGGGGGAAAGCAGGGGAUCUUCGGACCUUGCGCUAAUAGAUGAGCCUAAGUCGGAUUAGCUAGUUGGUGGGGGUAAAGGCCUACCAAGGCGACGAUCUGUAGCGGGUCUGAGAGGAUGAUCCGCCACACUGGGACUGAGACACGGCCCAGACUCCUACGGGAGGCAGCAGUGGGGAAUAUUGGACAAUGGGCGGAAGCCUGAUCCAGCCAUGCCGCGUGUGUGAAGAAGGCCUUUUGGUUGUAAAGCACUUUAAGCGAGGAGGAGGCUACCUGGAUUAAUACUCUAGGAUAGUGGACGUUACUCGCAGAAUAAGCACCGGCUAACUCUGUGCCAGCAGCCGCGGUAACAC